GACCCGUUAGCUCAGCUGGCAGAGCACCUGCCUUUUAAGCAGGGGGCCGCGGGUUCGAAUCCCGCACGGGUCA
rnacentral:tRNA from 1 species